rnacentral:sRNA from 1 species
AAGGCCUUCCACGGAGUGGAACACCCCGAGGAGAACCCGACGACGCUGGAGAGACCCGAAUGACUUGCCGACAUCGCAAGGGCCCCGUAAGGGGCGCGACCCACGAAACCGAUAGGGGGAGGAAUCGACAGAAGACAUGAA